ensembl:snRNA U6 U6 spliceosomal RNA
GUGCUCGAUUCGGCGCACAUUUACUAAAAUUGGAAUGAUACAGAGAAGAUUUUGCAUGGUCUCUGCACAAGGAAGACACGCAAAUUCAUGAAGGGUUCCAUAUUUUU